rnacentral:rRNA from 1 species
AACUUUCAGCAACGGAUCUCUUGGCUCUCGCAUCGAUGAAGAACGCAGCGAAAUGCGAUAAGUAAUGUGAAUUGNNGRAUUCAGUGAAUCAUCGAAUCUUUGAACGCACCUUGCGCUCCUUGGUAUUCCGAGGAGCAUGCCUGUUUGAGUGUCAUU